AAUCCUUUAACGAGUACCAAUUGGAGGGCAAGUCUGGUGCCAGCAGCCGCGGUAAUUCCAGCUCCAAUAGCGAAUAUUAAAUUUGUUGCAGUUAAAAAGCUCGUAGUUGGAUCCAAGGUUAGGCAUGCCUGUCUGUUCUUAGUAGCAUGACUGUGUGUGUCUGCCUUUAUUAGUUGAAUGUUCAUUAUGGUGGUCUUCAUCGACUGCUAUGAUGUGGUCAACACGUUUACCUUGAAAAAAUCAGAGCGAUCAAGGCAGGCCUUCGUGCUUGUAUGUUGUUGCAAGGAAUAAUAGAAUAGGACUUCGGUUCUAUUUUGUUGGUUCUGAGAAUUGAAGUAAUGAACAAUAGAGACAGUCGGGGGCAUUUGUAUGGUGGCGUUAGAGGUGAAAUUCUGAGAUCGUCGCCAGACAAACUACUGCGAAAGCAUUUGCCAAGGAUGUCUUCAUUAAUCAAGAACGAAAGUCAGAGGUUCGAAGACGAUCAGAUACCGUCCUAGUUCUGACCAUAAACGAUGCCGACCUACAAUCGGGGGUGGUUUAUUAUAUUGACCCUCCCGGCUGUCCUCAGGAAACUUUAAGUUGGUUCUGGGGGGAAUAUGGUCUCAAGACUGAAACUUAAAGGAAUUGACGGAAGGGCACCACCAGGAGUGGAGCCUGCGGCUUAAUUUGACCCAACACGGGGAAUCUCACCCGGUCCGGACACUGGUAGGAUGGACAGAUUGAUAGCUCUUUCUUGAUUCAGUGGGUGGUGGUGCAUGGCCGUUCUUAGUUGGUGGAGUGAUUUGUCUGGUUAAUUCCGAUAACGAACGAGACUCUGUCCUGCUAAAUAGUCCAGUGGCAUCAAUCACUAUGUGAUUACAGCUGCUGUUACUUCUUAGAGGGAUUCGCGGAUUUAAACCGCAAGAAAUAGAGCAAUAACAGGUCUGUGAUGCCCUUAGAUGUCCGGGGCCGCACGCGCGCUACAUUGACAGUAGAAGCGAGUAUUUCUACCUGGUUCGAAAGAAUUGGGAAAUCUUCGAAUUACUGUCUCCACAGGGAUUGAGGUUUGCAAUUUUGCCUCAUGAACGAGGAAUUCCCAGUAGGCGCAAGUCAUCAGCUUGCGUCGAUUACGUCCCUGCCCUUUGUACACACCGCCCGUCGCUACUACCGAUUGAGUGCAUUAGUGAGGACCUCGGAUUGAGAACAUAGUGGCGCAAGUUACUUUGUUUUCGAAAAGUGGUUCAAAUUUGUGCAUUUAGAGAUAGUAAAAGUCGU
rnacentral:rRNA from 1 species